rnacentral:rRNA from 1 species
GAUGAGCGCUGGCGGCAUGCCUAAUACAUGCAAGUCGAACGGAACACUAUUUUUGAGAAUCUCGGGUUUCCUCGGGGCGUCUCAUAAAUCGUGUUUAGUGGCGGACGGGUGAGUAACACGUUGGUACCUGCCCUCUAGUGGGGAAUAACUGGCCGAAAGGUCGGCUAAUACCGCAUGUGGUCUACGGAUCAAAGCCCUUCGGGGCGCUAGAGGAGGGGCCUGCGUCUGAUUAGCUUGUUGGAAGGUAAUGGCUUACCAAGGCGACGAUCAGUAGCUGGUUCGAGAGGAUGACCAGCCACACUGGGACUGAGAUACGGCCCAGACUCCUACGGGAGGCAGCAGUAAGGAAUCUUCCACAAUGGACGAAAGUCUGAUGGAGCAAUGCCGCGUGACA